CAGCCGCCGCGGGAAUACGAAGGGUGCAAGCGUUAAUCGGAAUUACUGGGCGUAAAGCGUGCGUAGGCGGUUUGUUAAGUCUGCUGUGAAAUCCCCGGGCUCAACCUGGGAAUGGCAGUGGAUACUGGCAAGCUAGAGUGUGUCAGAGGAUGGUGGAAUUCCCGGUGUAGCGGUGAAAUGCGUAGAGAUCGGGAGGAACAUCAGUGGCGAAGGCGGCCAUCUGGGACAACACUGACGCUGAGGCACGAAAGCGUGGGAAGCAAACAGGAUUAGAUACCCGAGUAGUCCCUGUCUCUUAUAA
rnacentral:rRNA from 1 species